GGUGGCUAUGAGAGAUCAUAAAAAAAAAUUGGAAUGUGGCUAGAAAGAAGCAAAGGAUUUUUGGAUAAGAGAUGAGAAGAUUCACACUAGCAAAAUCAAAGCAUGGUCAAAGCUGCUGAAACAAACAAACAAAAAACACUUCAAAGAAAAUGUCAGAAGCCUAUUCAGACACUCCAUUGGCUUACUGGGGAAAAUGCAAAUAUUUCAAAAUAGCACUGACCCAUUUAGUGUCUGUGAUAUAUCACUAUUCAUCUUUUUGAACUUACAGGUAUAAAUAGCAGUAAGAGAAAAAAGAGUGAAGUUCUAUUUCCGGUGAAUACAAUAACUCUUGGCUGGUAAAUUUUUAUCCAUGCCUUCUAUCUCAGGGCAUCUAUUGGCACAGGCUGCCCACGGUAAUGGUGGAGUAGUGGCCUCUGGAGGUUUUCAAGAAAAGGGCAGAGGUGGCACUGUCAGACAUGGGUUAGGGGUUGUGGAGUAUGGUACAAACAUUGCCUGCUGAAGAAGGGGAGAUGUCGUGCAAAACUGGAGAAUGGGAUGGGGUAUAGUUCUGGCAGCUAUCCUCUGGUUGAUGACAAGAACUGCCCCUACCAAUGCAGACCUGAUAAGGCCACAGCUAUGCCUCCAUCACAUUUAAUAAAUUGUUAUGUUGCAUCUAACCUGUGUCAGUGAAGUACACUGUAGUCCUUUCUUCUCACUGGGUGAAAAAAAACAGGGAAUGAAGUGGGACAGUGGACUUGAUGGUGAUGGGUUGGACUGGAUGAUCUUACUGAUCUUUUCCAGUCUUGAUGAUUCUAUAUAAAAAAGGCUAUUACUUCAGAAAGGUUAACAUAAAUUAAAAAUAAAUAAAUAAAUAAAUAAUCAGAGAGGUGAAAUUCAAGCUGUUUAUUCACUUAGGGAUGGUCGUUUCCUAACCUGAACUACGUGUGACAUUUUUACUUGGAUAUAGAAGGAAAAAAAGCUGAAAAAUUAACUCCAUGUGAAAGCAAUUCUCCUUCUUGCUACACUUUAAUAAUACAGUUAGCAAAAUAUUUUGAUUUUCCUUUCUUCUAGGGAUGCUUCUGUCAGAGCAGCAGUGAGAGGGUUAAU